GCAUGUCUGGAGACUAUGUCUAACCAAGGAUUUUCUUAGUGAAGUAGUAAAACUGAACUCUGUGGAAUUUUGAGAAAUAAUUCGCUCAGCGGCCAGCCACUGACACGUAUAGAGGAGCUUUGUGCAAGCACCAAUUAUCAAAAGGCUGUGCUUUCAUCCACACCAUUAAUUUCUGAAGGCAGAAGAGAGCAUGAUGAUGAAAGUGUCUUACAAGAUUAACAUCUCCAGUAUCACAGCUUUAAAGAAGUAGGACUGGAAUCUGAAACCAUAACUGCCUGAUCCAAAACUUGCUUUUGUGACUGGAUCAAGAGAAUAUGGAGCAGUGACAAUACGUGACUUCCAAGGAAAAGUAAUCAAAAGGAAAAGCACUUAUUCUCCCCUGUUCCCUGGAAUAUGUCUGCUGGAAGCUUCCAAAUAAAUAUUCAUAUAGAGCUGACUACUGGUGAGGCUAAAGCAUCUGAGGAGACAAAGGGAGAGCCCAGAGCCCCUGUGUUUGGAGUUGGCUGGACUGUGGAGACUUUGGAAAGGUCCUGCUGCCGGGAGUUAAGCACGAAAUCUUGGAACUGAAUUUUACAGAAUUACUUCUGAACCAGUAUGGAACAUUUUAUGAACCUACACAAAGCUUCUGAUUCCUGGAACGGCCUCGCUGUGGUGAUUUUCCUGCAUGGAUCUGGAGAUACAGAGCUUGGAUGGGCAAGAAGCCUUUGCAGGACAAUACCUGUGGCAUAUGGAAGUUCCCAGGCUAGGGGUCGACUUGGAGCUGUAGCUGCUGGCCUGCAUCACAGCCACAGCAACACCAGAUCCGAACCGCGUCUAUGAACUAUACCACAGCUCAUGGCAACGCCGGAUCCUUUAACUCAUUGAGUGAGGCCAGGGAUCAAACCUUCGUCCUCAUGGAUUCUAGCCAGAUUUGUUUCCACUGAGCCACGACUAGAACUCCCACAGUAAUGUGUUUUUGUGUGAAGAAACACAAAAGCACUUGCUUCAUGUCACAACCCACCCUAUAGCUAUAUCUUCUUUUCUACUGGAUGAUCUUUUUCCCAUGAAAGUUACAUUUGAAAUGUUACAUGUGUUAUUAGAUAGCUUCUAAAUUUUCUCUACUUGAAAACUCAGUGACAUUACAUAGGAAGGCUACAAUCAUAUUUAAAUAUGAUUAGAGUUCAUUGUACAUUAAACCUGGGCAAGAAAAAUCUGAUUUUGACUUAAUAUUCUUACUGUGUAACAGAAAGUACAGAUUCUAGUCCCUUAGUGAAUCACCCCCAUUCUUUAUCAAUUGUGUUGUAGACCUAAUGAAUGACUGUAGUUUCUCUUGAGGAAAAUUAUAGCAAAAGUGUUUUUUGAGUUUUUUUACAUGUUUUCUGUUUUUGUUUUUUGGGUUUUUUUUUUUGCAAUAAAACCUAAACUUACACACUUUUGAAAAGGAUUGAAAAAUUUAGUGUUCUAGCUAACAUUUACAGGGAAAGAUAAGUUUAUUCCAGUCCCCUUGGAACUGAAUAUGAAUAUAUAGUACCGCACCCCCAGCUAGGCCAGAUCCUAUCUUUCAAGAGGAUUGGAGAUCUUUUCAUGAGAAAAAGAAACACAUGGAAGAGAGAUGUGAAUUUUACCUGCACUGGCAAAAUCUUAUAAUCCUUCUGGAAUGAUGCUGAGGGGGAAAGGCCACACACUCUUUUGGGACUACUCCCUAUAUUUACAUCAGCUUUUCUUUCUCCUAGUAUUAUAAGACAGCAAUAGGAAUAGAUCAAUAAUAUGUAUAAAUCGAUGUAAUAAGAGCUGUAUUAAAUAAAGUUCUGUUGUAC
ensembl:lncRNA